rnacentral:rRNA from 1 species
GUGAGGAAUAUUGCGCAAUGGAGGCAACUCUGACGCAGCCAUGCCGCGUGCAGGAAGAAGGCGCUACGCGUUGUAAACUGCUUUUAACCGGGAAGAAACCCCAGGACGUGUCCUGGGUUGACGGUACCGGAGGAAUAAGCACCGGCUAACUUCGUGCCAGCAGCCGCGGUAAUACGAAGGGUGCAAGCGUUAUCCGGAUUCAUUGGGUUUAAAGGGUGCGUAGGCGGAGCGUUAAGUCAGUGGUGAAAUCCUGCAGCUUAACUGUAGACUUGCCAUUGAUACUGGCGCUCUUGAGUGCGCUUGAAGUGGGCGGAAUGUGCCGUGUAGCGGUGAAAUGCUUAGAUAUGGCACAGAACACCAAUUGCGAAGGCAGCUAACUAAGGCGAUACUGACGCUGAGGCACGAAAGCGUGGGGAUCGAACAGGAUUAGAUACCCUGGUAGUCC